rnacentral:rRNA from 1 species
UACGGAAGGCAGCAGUGGGGAAUAUUGCACAAUGGGCGCAAGCCUGAUGCAGCCAUGCCGCGUGUAUGAAGAAGGCCUUCGGGUUGUAAAGUACUUUCAGUCGUGAGGAAGGUGUUAAGGUUAAUAACCUUAGCAAUUGACGUUAGCGACAGAAGAAGCACCGGCUAACUCCGUGCCAGCAGCCGCGGUAAUACGGAGGGUGCGAGCGUUAAUCGGAAUUACUGGGCGUAAAGGGCACGCAGGCGGUUAAUUAAGUUGGAUGUGAAAUCCCCGGGCUUAAACCUGGGAAUGGCAUUCAAGACUGGUUAGCUAGAGUCUUGUAGAGGGGGUAGAAUUCCAUGUGUAGCGGUGAAAUGCGUAGAGAUGUGGAGGAAUACCGGUGGCGAAGGCGGCCCCUGGACAAAAGGACUGACGCUCAUGUGCGAAAAGCGUGGGGAGCAAAACAGGGAUUAGAUACC